GCCGGUCCUCGGUAGUGGCCCCCGGAGCGCGACGCGCGGCCGGGGGCUUCGAUCGAAGACCGGC
rfam:Pseudonocardia sp. HH130629-09, complete genome.